UCUGACACCCAGCAGGCUGGGCCUGCAAGAUGAAGUAGCUGUUCCCUGGGCUCUGGGACCCUGCUGCCCAGGGGAGCAGUGGAGCGCCCCGCAGGUGGUGCUGCAGCUACCCCUGAGUGCCUGCUCUGACUUGCUGGGGACCCCCUUCCAGCCUAAAGGCAGAAAAGCCCAAGAUGAUUAGCUAACUCUGCGGCAAUCCCACAAUGGAUGCAAAGGUGCAGGCCUAACGGUGGAGAGGAAGAACAGGGAAACUGUAAAGAAGUUUCUUCCAGGGACGCCUGGGUGGCUCAGUCAAAUGUCUGCCUUCUGCUCGGGU